AUGUCGGCUUCCUACUGCUGCUUCUUGCUACUGUGGUCGCUGCUGGCUGCUCCUCGUGCGACUGCUGCCGGCACGGUUUCUGCUACUAGCGCCGCACCGCGCCUAGGUGCUGCGGCUGCUUGCCGCGGCCGCUCCCCGCUGCUACUGCCGCUGCUCCGCGUAUUGCUUUACCUUACUUGCUGCUGCUCGCAUGCUAUUGCUACUGCCUCUAGCGCCACCGCUGCUCGCAUGCUCUGCCUUGCCACUACGCUGCUGCUUAGCCUUGCGGCUGGCCAUGGCCUUGGCCAUGGCACAGUGUGUGCGUGA
rnacentral:rRNA from 1 species